CACACCUGUAAGCUACCCGGCAGAAAUGCGACGACGGCAAAACGCGGCAAAGGAUACCCUUAUACUAAUAGCGUUACUACAAGACAUUAAUUUUGGGACAUUUGGAAUUUCUUUUGGUUGAAAUUACAGAAGGCCCGGUGAAAUGGCUCCCGGGGAAGAAGGGCUGCCGCCGUCACCAAGGUGGUGACAGGGAAUGGACUAUCAACAUUUGCAAGCGCAUCCAUGGAGCGGGUUUGAAGAAGUGCGCCCCUUGGGCAGUCAAGGAAAUCCGGAUAUUUGCCAUGAAGGUGAUGGAAACUCCAGAGUGCACGUUGACAUGGGGCCCAAUGAAACCUUCUGGGCCAAAGGAGCAAGAGAUGCCCCAGACCGGAUUCUUGUGCUGUGGUUGUCCAGAAAACAUAAUGAAGAUGAUGAUUUACCAAACAAGUUCUACACAUUGGUUAGCUAUGUACCUGUCAUCACUUUCAAAAAUCUGCAGUUAAUGUGGAUGAGGACAGCUGACUGUUAAAUAAAGUUACAGAACUGCCUUCACCCCCCCCCCAAAAAAAAAAUCGCUCUGGUGCCAAGCAAAGGAGAUAGAAUUCAAACUAUCCUUACAGAGUCUAGCCAGAGGGAUAAGCUGUGGGGAAACAGCUGUGCAGCAUAGAGGAGCCAGUGUCCACUGCGGGCCAGAGCCACAGGGCACUGAGGAGUUGAGAGAGGGAGUUAAUUUUGGGGAUUGGCCAGUUGGAGAAGGCAAAAGGAAGCGAGAAGAUUAGAACUUACUCUGUCUUCCUGGACAUCUCUGAGUUCCUAGAUGUCACCAUCACAACGGCCUGUUGGCCCUGGAAGCCCAGCCCAGCUUCUGCGGGGAGGGAGAUGGCGCUGGGCCCUUCAUGUCGUCGCCUCUCUCCCUCCUCCCCUUCAUUAAUGCAGUAUUUAUAUGCAGGCUCUCCUGUUUCCAUCAGGCUCUAACAUUUUAUCGACAUGAGUUUCAGCAUUAUCUCAAAACAUCGCUGUCAGAGAUGUAUUUCUUCCAUCAACAUGAAGCCCAGGGUCUACUUUAUAGAAAUACAUUCCAGAUUACCUUCCCUAGACUCAUUCUCUGUCACGUGAGCUUGACUUGCUUAUAAGCACAUUUCUGCCCUUGCUGAUUUUCAAAACAUCAUUGGACUGUUGCUAUAUAGUCUGCCUCAUAGCAAGUACUACAGCAACUCAUUUAGUCAAUACGUGCAUGUAUUGAAUACCUACUGUGUGCCAGGUACAAGAAUCUCGGGCCUCAUGGAACAAACAUUCUAUGAACGGCCAAUUAAAUAAUGAAAGACAUGAGACUUUAACUUGAAUAUCACUAUCGUGGCAAAUAUUAGUAAGAAAUUGGAGUAAAUAAACUCUAGCUUUAAUGAAAGUACAGUGUAUACAGUUCAACACAGAGCAAUGACUAAUGCAUCAUGGCAGAGGACAAUCCUUGAAAAUAUCAUCCUUGGGCCUACAAACACGUCAUUGUGUAGACUAAUCUCAGGUCUAUGAGGGUGAGCAAGUUUACAGUUCUUUGAAAUUUGAUCUCAGUUUCAGUUGCAAAGGCCUAAAUUGGGUUAGAGCAGCUUGCCUUUCGUAGUCCUCAACCUUCCUUGAUCCUCAGGGAUCAAUGACUAAUUCAGUUUUUUAAAAGUAGGGUGGCAGGCAUCCCAAGAACUCAGCCUCUGGGGGUUACAUCUGGUUUGGCAACUUCCUGUGGUGUGCAAUGCCCAGCCCCAUGUAUCUGUAGCCGUUAUGUGAGUAAUAAUGCAGAGUAUAUGCUCUGGAUCUUUUAAGGUACAUCAAGGGGCUGUAUUUCAGCAGCCGAUAGGACUCCAAGAGUUUUACCUUUUACUACUCCAGCCUUUCAGAUUUUCCCGGAAUCGUCACCUCUUAGAGUCUGUGCCUUCUCUGUGUGUUCCCAGAAUUCUCUAUUUAGGCUACUGUCAUGUUGGUUUAAAAAAAAAAAAAAAAAUAGAGAGCUUUGAGUCAGUUCAGCUCACCAAUUCACCUUAGAAUCCACACUGAUACUUCCAAAAGGGAAAAAAGCAAAGACUGCUUUAGCUUGGGGGUGAAUGUCUCAAUUCUCCCUUGGUUUCACUGCCUUUUCCAUUCAGGUGGCUUCCCAUUUCGUUCUGGAGCUUCCUGGUCCCGGAAUUUAUUUUCCAUUAAAGAAGCUCUUUUCUCAGAAGCUGUUUUUUUCCUGCUCUCCGGCCCCUGUUUUGCUCCUUCAGAGGUCUGGCUGCUGCUACUGCCUCAGCCCCAGCCCCAGCUUGCCAGGGCUCCAGGCCAAGCCAGCCUUCCAGCUGCUACUCAGCCGCUCGGUUCCAACUGUCUAGCCCCAACCGACUCAGAACCUUCUGGUCCCAAACAUUCUCUCACACCCAGCCCCCACCAAGGAACAAAUGCAGAAGCUCCAGCCGGGUCCAGCUAACACUGAAUGGGAGGAAGGGGGCGAGGAGAAUGCAGGCGUGAUCAAUUUUCCUUAGAAUGAGUAGUUUCCUACACCUCAUAGGUCAUGGGUAAGAACUGAUGGUGUUUGUAUUUCAAAAACUUUCAUUAACUAAAUACCCAAGUGACCAUAGAAAGGAAUAUUGAGAUUCUAUAACAGUUCUACUGGCCUUAAGAAUAAAAAGAUAUACAUUAAGGGUCACCUAUCUGGGCACCUAAGAGACUGAGGACUCCUCCUUCUCAGCACCUCUUCUCUAAGCCUUCUAGAAAAUAGUGCCUCAUGUAAGAACCUCUCACAUCUAUUCCUGUCCCUAAUAUGGUUGGGUGGGGGGGAGAGUGGUUUGAAUGUUUGGGAUCCCUAAUCUCACAGACAGGGCAAUAACAAGAUAAAGUAUUAAAUAAAGGAUGUUAAUG
rnacentral:lncRNA from 1 species